rnacentral:rRNA from 1 species
GGCUGGGAGCUGGCACGGGGCAAGGACAGCCGCGGAGACUUGGGCCUGCCAAAAUUCUCCCAGAGCUCCUUAUGUUCAUGCAGCUCCUCUGGCUCGUUGUCUUCCUCAGCAAAGUGGAAGACUAGGGGCGGCUCAUCCUGCUGCGCCAUGGCUUGCCCGCAGUUGUCUGGUUGAUUGGGGCGAGGCGGGCAAGAGAGGAAUCGAAAGAGGAUUGUAGCGAAUGCGAGGACUACAGCGGCCUAUUAAACAAUGGCUCGGGCGCCCUCCCGGACUCGCUUGCUUAUGGUUGCCUGCUCCAUGGCUCCCACCCGUCUCCAGAGAUCGUCGUGGCGCCGUCCCCAUGUCUCUUCAAGCUCGAUGUUCACCUCCCGAUUCACCGGAUGCUUCCUUUGUGCACUCCCGUGUGCAGGAUCGGAUGAUUGCUCUUCAGUAUGUGCCUUCCGAGUUAUAGUUGCUGGAUUUCUUCACAAAGGCCCAGACUAGAGCACAUCAGGGCUUUUACCUCUCCA